rnacentral:rRNA from 1 species
AGAGUUUGAUCAUGGCUCAGGAUGAACGUUGGCGGUGUGCCUAAUACAUGCAAGUCGAACGGAGUUAAUAGCAAUAUUGACUUAGUGGCGAACGGGUGAGUAACGCGUUGGUGAUCUGCCUCGAAGUGUGGAAUAACGUUCCGAAAGGAUCGCUAAUACCGCAUGUGCUCUCGAUUUUUAGAAAGUUGAGAGUAAAGGAUUUAUUCGCUUCGGGAGGAGCCUGCGUCCCAUCAGCUGGUUGGUAGGGUAACGGCCUACCAAGGCUAUGACAGGUAGGGGACCUGAGAGGGUGGCCCCCCACAAUGGAACUGAAACACGGUCCAUACACCUACGGGUGGCAGCAGUAGGGAAUAUUAGAAAUGGACGAAAGUCUGAUCUAGCAACACCGCGUGUGCGAAGAAGGCCUUCGGGUCGUAAAGCACUUUUUGGAAGGAAUAGGAAGGAAUGUACUUCCAGAAUAAGUCUCGGCUAACUACGUGCCAGCAGCCGCGGUAACACGUAGGAGGCAAACGUUAUCCGGAUUUACUGGGCGUAAAGCGCGUGUAGGUGGUACUGUAAGUAGGGCGUGAAAGCUCCCGGCUCAACUGGGAGAGGCCGUUCUAAACUGCAGAACUAGAGGAUGGUAGAGGGAGGUGGAAUUCCAGGUGUAGCGGUGGAAUGCGCAGAUAUCUGGAGGAACACCAGUGGCGAAGGCGGCCUCCUGGACCAUUCCUGACACUCAGACGCGAAAGCUAGGGUAGCAAACGGGAUUAGAGACCCCGGUAGUCCUAGCCCUAAACGAUGUAGACUAGGCGUCGGUGGUUUAAUCACCAUCGGUGUCCAAGCUAACGCGAUAAGUCUACCGCCUGGGGACUACGGCCGCAAGGUUAAAACUUAAAUGAAUUGACGG